rnacentral:lncRNA from 1 species
UUUUUGAAAACCAAGUUAACUGAAGAAAUAGAAAAUCCACCUACGACAGUUGAACAAAUAGAAUUAACGAAGAAAAAAAAACUCAAUUCAAUAAAAAAAAAUCACCACACUAUCAACAACAACAACAUGUAAGAUUUCAUACCAGUCAUAUCAAAAUGUGCAAAAAUGAAAUGUAAGAGAACUAAUAACUGUGAAAAUAGAAUCAGCGUUAACAAAAUAAUUAUGACAUUUAUACACUUUGAAAACUAAGUUAAACUGAAAGAAAUUGAAAAAUCGAAACUUAAGCAAAAAUGCAGAUGUUGAAAUCAGAUUAAAUAUGCCAGUAAAUGAAAUGUGAAACAAUAUAACAGUAAAUAAUCACCCGAAGAAGUGAAUCCUGUUCGGUGAUUUCGCUUCUUGACGAUCCUGAGCAAAAGCUUGGAAGAAUGAAUGAAAAGUAAGAAACCAUAACCGAGGAGAGGAGAAGAUGUUGAAGAAAAAAGAAUAGAAGAUUUAGAAACUUCGGGGACUCACCAUGGUGUUUGGUAGUUGAAGCGAGAGUCCAAACUCAGAGAAUAAGAGAGACUUUGGUUCACUUGGUUAGUGAAAUUUAAAUCAGAAAGGAAUGUGGAGGGAGAUAGGUGACGUAAGUGUAUAUAUUUAUAGAACGACUAACAUUUCUUUUGGUUAAAAAUCUUUUCAUGCUGUUAGUCUCCAACACUAUGGUCACGAAAGAACCCACUUUCCUAAAUCAAUCACCAUCCACACGCAGUUUUAUUUUAUUUUUAUAAAGACCACAUACUAUAUUAUUAUUAUGAUGAAUUGUGAUUCAAUUUAUUAUCUACUUUAAGUUAAAUUAAAUUUGUUUAAAACUAUAUAGUAUUAGCUUUAUCGAUGAUUAAAAUAAACCAAUAAGCGGGAAAAAUGACAAAAGCACAGAAGGAAUGAAGUGAUAUAAAAUUUAACCGAUAUUUUUAGAUAUUGAUAUAUAAUUUUUUUUUUCUUUCUUUAGAUGAAAAUAAAGAUCCAUAUUAAAAUAUGUACUUGUGCUCCAAAGUCGAGUUAUCUAUUCCAAAUAGAUGUCCACUAUUUACUGGUAAAUAUAUUUUCUCACUUAAAAAAUAUUGUAAAUGUUUACUGUUUUAUAUCAUUGCCUCAAAAAAAAGUAUUAUAAAAAGAACAUUUAUACCAUUACAUAUGCUUACAAAUUGAAUUAUUUAUUUUAAAAGAAAAAAAAAACAACAAUAUAUUAUAUAUUGUAUGGUUUCAUGAAAAACUCAUUAUUACGGUAGUAUCGAAGAUAAUGCUUUUGUCCACGUAUACUCUCUCACCUUCACUGUCAGAUGUGCGUUUUCCAUUUGAUAUGAAAGACCACUCCUUAGAAAAUGACAAAACUCUGUAGAAUGAAAGCAAUACUCAUAUGUGUGAAGUUUAUUGUAAGUUUUGAGGACUCCUUGAAGCUGAAAACGUGGCAGUACACUGUCCCCUCUAAAAAUCCUUGCCUGCAAAUUAUUCAGCUACUUAAUCGUAGCAGAGAACAGGUUAAUUUUGAGUGGCACAAUGUACCAUUUUGAACAUUUAACCUACAAUAAAGCAAGUCCUCUUAUUUUGGUGUGUGCGUUUCCAACGAUCGUACAAAGGUUUUUCAAAUAACCCUGCACGCGCUCAACAUUCCUACUCUACACCAUGCACAACUUGCGAUUUAUCGGUGGUGCGUCUCAUGCUCCCGUUUUGUUGGGAACACGUCAAAGCAUGCAUGACAGCUUCGUGAAAAUUUAACUCCUACCCUUACAAAACUAGCUUAACACAUCACAUAAUUCAAAAUAAUAUUAGCUUUUUUUUUUUUUUACAUUUUUGUUUUUCAGUCUCACUUUCAACUAAUUAUUUCUAAUAUAAAUUCACUCGCUCAAAAAAAAAUUAAUAUGUAAAAGACUUUCUGAUUUACACUUUAUUUUGAUAUAUUUCAAAAGAAAGUUUUCAAUAUGUUUUCAAUAUGUUAUAUUUUGAUAUAUUCCAAGCAUGCUCACUCAGGGGGUUUCUGGAGUACAUACGAAGGAUCGACUCUUUGACAGUGGAAAAAUGUCAUAUGGACACCUUUUGCAUACCAUAUAGUUAACUAGGAGUUUGAUAACACUGCCCUUGUUUGGGUUAUAUGUGAUGGAAGAUUAUGGUGGUUGCAUAUUUACUUGAGAGGUGUAUGUGCCAAUUUGGGUAUGUUCAUAUCAGUCUUAGAUCAGUUCUUGCAGUGUCAGUCAGGGGCAUUGAGAGAUGGUUUAGGUCUAAUAUUAUGAGAUGGGUCACAACUACCAGAGAAAAUACGGUGGAUGUAUCUCUUCCUUGACAAUGAUUGAAUGGGUAUUUAGAGUGGUACUUUAGAGUAUUGUAAUUUUGCAUCAUCCCACUUGUCCAACUGAAGCUACACGAAAUAUACCUGAGUGCAUCGCACGCUCAGAGAUACAACAGAGUCGCCAUCAAACUUUAUUUAUUACCGAAGGAAAGGGAAAACUUCGAUAAAACCCAAGGGAAGAGAAAAACAGGGUAAGAAAGUCAGUUAUGCAAUGGGAAAAUCUUAGCAUCCCUCACAUUUGUUGUACUCAACGGGAACCGUUUUGAUUGUUCUAUGCUCGAAUGGGUGUUAAUAUCUAAAGAUUACUCGCGAAAAGGAAAAAAAGGUUUUAAUGAAUAAUGUUAACGUUCAUGUUUUAACAAUAAACAUUGCUUGUAUGCUUGUGCAUGGAAGACUUAAGCGUCGUUCAUGGUAGAACGAAAGUAACAUGUUCUUUGUGAAAAGGUUUUUGGAAAGAUGAUGCCCAAAGGCAAAAAUGAAUUUGAUGAGUUGAGUUUGCUUUUAUAUUUGAAAAUAGAUAUCUUAAUUUGAAUUAUACUAAAGUCUAUGAAUGGAGAUGAAUAUUCUGAGUAACUGGGUCAUUCGCCCCAUACCCAAAGAUAUUCAGAAUGAGGAUAGGAAUGCUCUCUCUCAUCCCUUCUCCAUUUCUUAAGGCUCGUGGCGCAUAAUUGUAAUUAUAUUUUUAAGUGUUUUUUAGUUUAUAUACAAAAUCGUUUUAGUCUUAAACUAAAAGAAAAGAAAAGGAAAAGAAACCCUAGAGGUUGAGAUCCUGAUCUCCAGUCUGCAUGCCACAUCUGUGUAGAAAGACUUGUCAAUCAUUCGAUAUAAAUUACACUAAAGUCUAUGAGUAGAGGUGAAUACUCUGAGAAACAGGUCAUUUGUCCCGUACCCAAAGAUAUUCAGAAUAAGGAUAAGAAUUCCCCCUCUCAUCCCUUUUCUACUACUUAAGGCUCAUUACAUACAAUUUGCAUCAUAACUAACGAGUCUUGAAGAUGAACCUUUGUAAUGCUUGAACAAUGAUCCAGUCUGUCUGCAAUGUCUGACUUGUAUUGUCUUGAAUGUGAAGUCUUGAGCUUUUUAAGGUCUAGAGAUCCAAUGCAGUUCCAGUGCAGGGGGUUUAGUCCUAUCAAGUGAUCAAUAAACUUUUGAUCACUUAAAUAGACAGGGGAAAUGAGCACAGUCAAAGGAUUUAAUUGAUCAAAGAGAAAUUUCAUCAAAGAAAUCAAUCGGGGUAAAAUCAGUUGAAAAUCAAGGCACAAGGGGAUAAAGACUUGCAAACCCUAAGGAUUAAUCAUAUUAACAACCAAACUUAAUUCUAAAGACCUAGAUCUAAGGGAACAUGACAUUGGUUAAGAUGCAAUUAAUCACAAAAUCAUAUCAAUGGCUAACAAUAAUCAAUUUGAUUUAAAAGAUCAAUUAAAUCUAAAAAGAUUAGGAACGAAUAAAAUUCUAAAAAAAAGUGAAUUAGAAUACAAAUCAAACUAUGCACUAAGUACUUUAAUCAUGUGAAUUAAAAUAUUUAAACCUAAUCAAGAAAUCAUAUAUUUUUUUAUGCAUUUUUAAAACAAUUAAGAAUUAAAUGCAAUUAAACAAGCAAAUUAAUCCUAAUUAAAAAGUCUAAUCAUGUUAAUCUCUAAGUUUGCAUCAAAAUGUAUUAGCUACAAUUAAAAAAAAUGUAAAAACAAAUGACAAAAAAAAAAGAAUUAGCAGAAGAACCAAAAAAACAACAAAACAAAGGGGUUUUAAUCAGAAAACAAAGGUGCAAGAAGUAAAUUGAGCGUGGGUCCAAACAAGGCCCAUAGUGCCUUCAACUAUGUUAAGUAGGGGAUAUGAAAGCUUAAUAGGGUGCAUAUAGCAAUAAAUAGGCUCAAGGCAUGGAAAAAGGCCAAUAGCAUAGCAAGGCAAAUGGAAUCAAAGGCCAAGCAGAUUGUCACGUGUCCAGAUUUUCCACUUUUUCCAUAUUUCUCACUCAGGUCAACCAUGUUCAAACUCAAAUUUCUUCCCUCCACUGAAACUUUCCUCUGCCGCGCCAGAGUUCUCCUCUGGCGGCAUCGGAGCCCUAAAUCUUCAAACAAAGUACGUUAUCAUCUUCCUCUCCCUAUCCUGAGUCUAAAUCUCAUGUCCAAUUCUAACAAUUCUCCACCAAUUACUCGAACUGAGGCCAACUGUAUAAGAACCCUAGAAAUCAAAUGAGAAAUUAAAUCAUGAUCCUCUGGAAUCAUAGCCCUAGAGCUUAGGGCUUUGAUUCUUCUAAAUGAAGUCUACAUCCCGGUAACAAGCACGAAGCAAACGACCAAGAAAAAGAGGACACUCGCCGAAGAAUUCGCAGAGGUCACCAGAAUCAAGUAAUCUCUUAUGAAUCUUUCUUCUUCCUUCAAAUAUCCUUCUUAUUUAAUCUUGUUCUUCUUCUUUCUUCUUCUGUGAUUGAGUCUCGUGUGAGUGUGAAAUUGUAUAAUAGUAUAUAUAUAUAUAUAUAUAUAUAUAUAUAUAUAUAUAUAUACUAUAGUUAUAUAUAUAUAUAUAUAUAGAGAGAGAGAGAGAGAGAGAGAGGAUGAAGCUUUAAGUCUAUGUGAAUUGAGAUGAAGGAUGAUUAGUGAUGAGUCUGGGUUGAUGAAAAAGUGAAGAGUCCUAGAGAUUGUGAAGGUUGAUUUGAAUUUAUAGAGGGAUUAGUUAACAGAAAAAGGAACUAUGUUAGUUCUAUUUGAUUCAAAUUUAGUCGACAGUUAACUAACUCCGUGAUUUUCUGUUACAGGUUAGUUAUGGAAUUCAAAAUUUGUUUAAGUGGUAGUUAGAUGGUGAAAUGAGAGUGAAAGUUAGUCUAAGAUGUGUUAAUUGUGAACAACAAUUUCUAUUAGUUUUGAGUGAAAUGAAAUUCAGUUAAGAGUUAAAUGUAAUUAGAUGUUCAGUUAGAUGUUAAGUGAGUUGUUAGUUGUAAGUUGGUUAAGUUUUGGAAUUCUAUUUUUAUCUUCAACCUCGGUUAGUGGUUAGUUAUGAAUCGUGCCCUGUUGUUGUUGUUGAUUGAUUUGCAACAUAAUUUGAUAUGUUUAGUUGUUGCAUUGUUGUGUCAUGAUAAAUUGCAUUGUUGUUGAUCUUCUUAUGUGAUGAAUUGCAUUGCCAUGUUAUUGUGUAUGUGACCUUGAUUGCAUAUGCUAUGGUGCUUGUGCUAUGAUGCUAGGUGAAUGAACUAUGGUUGAUGAUAAUUUAUGGUUCAUGUUUAGGCUAUGGUGAAUUGUUGGCUUUGUGUUAUGAUGGAUUACAUUGAAUUAAAAUUUUAGGGCUGCAAUGAAUUGUUUGUGUUAGUUAUUGGAUGCUAGUGUGAUAUGCUUAUUAUCAUGGCUUGAAAUGCUUGGCUAAGGUUGUUUGGAUUGAAUGGUUGAUUGAUAUUUAUAAUUUGAUGUGUUAUGCAUAUGCUUGACAUUUGUUUUGUAUGGUUUUAGAAAUGGUUUAUGUUGGCAUGGUUGGAAAUAGAUUGUUUAGAUCAAUGUUGGUUUACCAUGCUUGAAAUGACAUUUAUUGAUUUGGUCUUAUCUUGUAGGAUGUGCAUAAGGAUGGAUUGAAAAAGAAGGCUUAUACUUAAAGAAAAAUGGGGAUUAGGGUUUAGGAUGUAAAAAGUUGGUUAGUUGACUUUGAUCAACUGGCUGAUAUAAAAGUCAACAGUUAACCAAAAGUGGUCAACUUAUGUAAAAGUUGUACUUUUUGUAAUUUCUUUGUAUGAACAUGUAUGGGAAAUGUAAAAAUGAUCUUGUAUGAACGAAAUGCAUCCUUUUUAGAUGGGAAAGUACUUAUGAUUAUGAAACAUGAUUGAAUUCAAAUUACCGCUUUUCCAUCCAAAUCCAUAUUUGAAAUCACUUUGAAUCAAAUGCCUUAAAUGCAUCCUAAAACAUAUUUGAAUGAAUGAAUGAGAUGGAAAUACAUGGAUCAUGAAUGAAGCAUGCAAAAACUUUACCAAAUGGACCUUGGAUCAAUGAACUAUAAUGAAAACUUAAAUUAUGACACACUAAUGAAACAUGAGACCAUGGAUUGGCAAUGCACUAAUGAAACCAUGAAUGGAAUGUGAAUGAAAUAAGACUUAGAUCAAAUGGACCCUAAGACCGUGAAAUCAUUGAAACAUGAAUGAAACAAACCUUGAAUGAAGCAUAUAACAAGCCAUAAAUUAGGGUUUUAGCUAGGUUAAGAUCAAGAUCCAAAGAAAUAAUUAAGAACCUCAAACUAAGAAGUGAGGCUUCAAAUUAGUCCACCAAUGACAUGAACUAAAACUAGGUUUUCCCAUACCUUGAUGUAAGUCGCAUGAUUCAUGAACCUCAAAGUUCAAGAAAUAGGGUUUGGGCAUGAAUGAAUACCAUGAUGCAAUCUCCAAGAUAAUCAAGCACCUAAAACUAGGGUUUUAUACCUUGACCCAAAUGAUGGGCUCUCCAUAUUUACUGUAGCAUCACAAUCCUAGGGUUCUUGAUCCUCAAUCAAACCUUAACUUCUUGUUAGGUAUAAACAGUCUCAAACCUUUAAUUUUAUGACGAUGUUAGUACACUAGAUGGUAUGGAUGCAUAUAAAUGCAAAUGAAUCUGAAACAAAAAGGUUAGAUGAAAAUGAAAAAGGGUGGGAACACUUUGGGGUAUGACAACUACCUCUAUUUAAUCUUCUCGGACCUGAAGGUGUGAAUAGUAACAACUUUCGAACAUUUGAGGUAUGAGAGGAUUAAAUACCAAAAUAACAAAGAAAUUUGUCUGUUGGGGAUGAAUGUAAUGUGAGGUAAGAAUAUUAAUGGGAAAUUGCUUAUUGGGUGGCAUGUAGGAUUUUGUAUAUGGUCAUCUGUUGGGGAUCAUUUGAAAUAUCUAUGGGGAGAAUGGAUCAAUUGUAGAGAAAUAUGUUAGACAUGUAUGUUGUAUGCAAUAUGCAGUGUAUGCUUGAUUUUUCCUUUCUUUUGUCUUCUUUUUUUUUGUCUUUGCCUCCACUAACAAGUUUUGGCAUGUACUGGUAGUUGAGAUAUUCUUGCAGGAUUCCACAAAGAUAAGAACAUCAUGUAUUUACAAAAGGCAAGUAACAGAGGAUAUAAAGGUAAAUCGAAAUAUUCUGCAAAAGGCAGAAGGGCGUCUUGCAAAAGGCAAGCAUGACUUGACUGAGAAAUGAGUUGAUUUUCUGCCACAAAGGUAGAGGAGACUUGCAAAAGGAAAGUAAAGGGAUAUGAUGGUUUCUCAUGCAAAAGGCAUAUGAGGAAAUCUUAGCAAAAGGCCGUGAAAACACAUGAAGGUGAAUGUGAUUUCUCAUACAAAAGGAAAUGAGCACUUCUUAACAAAAGGUCCAAAAGAAAGAUGAAUGUGAAAGACGACUUCACUAAGGAUAUGGUUUCUCAUACAAAAGGUAACGAGGAACUUCCUUAACAAAAGGUUAAGAAGAAAGAUGGAUAGGUUUUUCAUACAAAAGGUAAUGAGAACUCCUUAGCAAAAAAUCUAAGAAGAAAUCUUGAUAUGAAUUUAUCAUACAAAAGGUAAUGAUAACUCCUUAACAAAAGAUUAAGAAUAAAUUUGGAUAUGUUUUGAUUUCUCAUGCAAAAGGCAAUGAGAGAUCCUUAACAAAAGGUUAAGAAGAAAAUCGGAAUCAACUGGUGUUUUCCUACAAAAGGCAAGGACAAUCCCUUAGCAAAAGGCUAGGAAUAUUUGUGAAUAGCACAUGCAAUCCUUUAUGCAAAAGGCAAUGAAGGAUGUUCCUCACGCAAAAGGCGGAGGGAACUUGCUAAAGGCAAGUGCAAGAUGGAGUAACUUCUCCUUAUGCAAAAGGCAAAAGGGACUCACACUGGGUGAACCGACAUAGUGACUUCCCGUGCAAAAGGAAGAGGUUACUUACAAAAGGUAAGCAUAUUGGAAGUAGAACUCCUCGUGCAAAAGACCGAGGGAACUUGCAAAAGGAAAGUUGGAAAUAAAAAGAGUUUCAGGUUUUAAACUUAACGGAUUUUCUCAUUUCUUUUGCUUUUAUCCCUGAUUUUUUCCUGGACCUUUUCUUUUUACGGUACACUGAUAUGCCCAUUUUUUCCUAAGUCGCCCCUUAGGGUUUUCGAUUUAUAUGGUCUAUUUUUAGGCGAAGUAUUUUUUGACUGCAUCUGCGUUUACUGGUGAUGCAAGGUCUCCAUCAUCCACAGUUGAGAGAAUCAAGGCUCCUUCAGAGAAAAUAUUUCUCACAAUGUAUGGUCCUUUGUAAUUAGGGGUUCACUUGCCCCGUGAAUCUGUAUGAAUUGGCUGAAUCUUCUUCAAUACCAGGUCUCCUACAUAGAGAUUCUGAGGAUGGACCUUUUUCUCAAAUGCCCUCUUCAACUGUUUUUGAUACAAUUGACAGUGGCAAAGAGUUGUCAGGCGGUCAUCUUCGAUGAUAUUGAGUUGAUCGAGCCUUAUUUGAACCCACUCAGCUUCUUCAAGCUUGACAUCUGUUAAAAUCCUCAGGGAGGGAAUCUUUACUUCAAUGGGAAGCACUGCAUCCAUGCCAUAUACAAGAGAGAAAAGGUUUUCCCCAAUUGAAGUUCUUACUGAAACACGGUAGCCAUGUAUAGAAAAAGGUAACAUUCCAUGCCAGUCUUUAUAUGUCUUCACCAUUUUCUGAACAAUCUUUUUAAUAUUCUUAUUUUCCGCCUCGACAGCACCAUUCAUCUUCGAACGGUAUGGCGAUGAGUUAUGUUGUUCAAUAUUGAAAAUAUUACACAACUCUUUCAUCAUCUUAUUAUUUAGAUUAGAACCAUUAUCAGUAAUGAUUUUGUUGGGAAUCCCAUAACGACAGAUAAUUUCUUUCUUCAGAAAUCGAGCAACCACUUGUUUGGUGACAUUUGCAUAUGAAGCAGCCUCCACCCACUUGGUGAAGUAAUCAAUGGCUACCAGGAUGAGUCGAUGUCUGUUUGAGGCAGUUGGUUCAAUGCGUCAAAUCACGUAUAUGCCCCACAUGAAAAAAAGGUCAAGGUGAUGAUAUGACAUUCAGAGGCAUUGGUGGCACAUGUAUUUUAUCUGCAUAGAUCUGACAUUUGUGGCAUGUCUUCACUUGGCGAUAACAAUCAACUUCCAUUGUCAACCAAUAAUAACCUUCCUUUGAGAUCUUUCUGGACAUUAUGUCUCCACUAGAAUGAGUCCCAAAGGAGCCUUUAUGGACUUCUGUUAUAACUCGGUUUUUGUCAUGUCUAUCCACACAUAUGAGCAAGACCGAGUCAGAAUUCCUUUUAUAGAUCACGUCCCCGCUUAAGAAGAAUUUGGAUGAGAGCUUUCUUAGAGCCUUCUUAUCUGUGAUAGACGCAUUCUCAGGAUACUCCUGUUUUUCAAGAUACGUCUUGAUGUUAUGGAGCCAAGGUUUACCAUCAGAUUCUUCCUUAGUUGCUAGACAAUGUGCAGGUUCGCCCAGGUGUUCAAUAAUUAUCGAGGGUGCUUAGUUGACCCACUUAACCUUGAACAUGGAUGCUAAGGUAGCAAGAGCAUCUACCUGUUGAUUUCCUCCCUCAGGAUAUGAUGAAAAGUGAUUUCAUCAAAAUAUGGAACCAACUUCAUGACAUGUUCUCUGUAUGGGAUCAACUUGCAAUCACGAGUCUGUCAAUCUCCUCUGACCUGACUGAUUACUAGAGUUGAGUCUCUAUAUACUUCAAGGAUUUUAAUCGUAAAAUCAUUUACUGCUUUGAUACCAAAGAUACAUGCUUCGUACUCUGCCAUGUUGCUGGUGCAGUCGAAACAUAAUUUUGUAGUGAACGGAAGAUGAAAGCCAGUUGGAGAAGUAAUUAUUGCCCAUAUCCAAUGACCUUGUGCAUUGGGAGCACCAUUGAACACGAGCGUCCAUCGCGAUCCUGGUUUGGGUCAUUCCUCAGGGCCUGAAAUAUUACAAAUAUCUAACAAACAAGUUAUCCUCAUCUGGAAAAUCAAAACGCAUUGGUUAAUAAUCUUCCAUAGGUUUAGGUUAACUUGGACCUCAAGUCACCACAAUCUAUUCACUUCAUUACAAGAAUAUGAGUUACUCAAUCUAUUUAUAGAUUUAGGUUAACUUGAACCUCAAGCCAAAGCACAAAAUUGUAAAAGCGUAAAAUAGCUAACACUACUAAAAUAGGCCUAAGUCGAAAUCAUGUGUGAAGCAACAUGCUUCGACACUUCAACACAUCGACACACUAGCACAACACACUAGGUGGUUCGACACUUCCUUGUUCUUGUCGAGCAAUCUGCUUCGACACAAGAAAUUACAAUUCAACAAGAACAUGUAGAGAGAAGAGAUUUUGAAGAAAAAGGAAGAGAAGAAAGCCAAAAAGGAAACUCUCAUUUUUCAUUUCUCAAUAUUAACUUUGAUCAAUUGAUAAUGCAACCGUCAAAUUAGUGGUGAAUUUUUUUUUAAAAUUUAUUCUAUGUUUUAAUAGAAUUAUGUGUGAUCUUAUUCUUUGUAUAUUCAUUUUAAUUUUUGAAAAUUUAUAUUUUAUAUAUUGUAUAAAAAAUUGACACUGUCACUCUUUAUUAGUCGUGAAAUUUAUAUAUUUAUUUUCUAAAAUUUAGUUUAUGUAUAUUUUUAGUAGAAUUUUAUGUGAUUUUAUUCUUUUUAUAUUGGUUUCAAUUUAUGCACAAAAAAAAUUAUAAAGUGUAAAUAUUAAUGUCUGUUCAUGUUCUUGAAACACUAAGUGUCAAAGAGCACAUAUCAAUAUGUUAUUUCAGCAAUAGUGUGCUUGAUGAACUUUUUUUUGUUUAUAGGGUUUUGUAGACCAAUAUUCUUGGACUUUUUUAUUGAAUGAGUUUGAAACUUCAACGUAAACAAAAGGGUUACAAACUUGAGUUAGUGAUUUGGUUCUAACUCAUAUAUAACGGUGGCAGAAUGCAGUUGAAACAUAUAGGAGGAAGAGAAACAGAGAGAGGGUAUUUUUUUUAUUUUUUGUUUUUGUUUUAUUUGAAUUGAAUCAAGUCCUACAUUAAUUUGUUUUUCAUAAAAGAAUUGAAGUAAAUGAUAAUCUUCCUACAAAUGAUAAUCUUCUAAAUAUGUAUUGUAUAUGAUAUUUGUGAAAAUUCUUAUAAUUUUAGAAGGACUGUCGAGCACAAUUUUUAAACAGUGAUAAUGUUGAAUAAGGAAAUGAAAUAUGUAUAAGUUUUAUUAAUAAUUUUGUUUUUCUUUUGAUGGUCUUUGUUGCUUGUGAAAUUGAAUAAUAUAUUAUCUUGCAGGUUUUUCUAAUGGGUUCUCAUGGAAAUGUCUCGACAUCUAUUGAUUAUUAUUUUGUUUGAGGGUAUUCAAUUCUCAAUUUGAAAUUGAUGCUUACAACUAUACAUAUAACUAUACAUAUAUUCAGGAUCGAUAUUGAUUUUUUAGAUGUAUAUGAUAAAUAAUAAAAAUGGAUUUUUAAUAAAAAAUAUAAUUUUUUAAAAAGAGAAAUGCAUUAUAUUCUUCAAAUAUAAAGAUAUUACUACUUAUUUGUAGAUGAAAUUUUUGUAUUGUCGGCGUCAACAUUAGCUAUAACCAUUUUUAUAUAGAUUAUCAUAAGUGAAAAUUAACAAAUUAAUAUUAUAAACUAAAAUCUUAGAUAAUAAAAUAUUCUUACAUAAACAAAAGUAUUAUAAUGACCACACAUAAAUAUAAUAAUAAAUUGUUAAGAAAAUAAGAUUUAAAAAACAUUAAAAAUAAAAAAAGAUCAUCAAAUAAUAAAAUUACAUAAUAUCAUGUUAAUCUAUAACAUAUAACUCCACUGGAAAAUCUUUUAUUUCAUUUUAUACAAUUUUAUCAAAAUUAUCAAGGAGAAAACUAUUAUUUUAAAUAGAAGAGAAAAUAUCUUAACAUUAUUAUUUAUAUUAACAAUAUAUUUUAUACUAGUGUCUAAAAAAUUAUUAAACAAUUAAUAAAAUAAAAAUAAAUAAAUAAAUAAAUAAAUAAAAAGAAUCACUGAUUAAAAAUUAAAAGAAAAACAUUAAAUCUUUAAUUUCAUUUUGUUUUUAUAUUUUCUAUUCAUUUUUAAAUAAUUUAAAUAAUUAAUAUUUAUCAUAAUAAUAAAAAAACUAGGCAAUAAUAUUUAAGAAAGAAUAAUAAGCAGGAUUGAAUUCAUAACAUUUACCAUUAUGUGUGUUUAAAAAUCAAUUUUCUACCACUUGAUAAAUGACAUAUUAAUUAUCUAUUUUAUAAUUUAUUUAAUAUAAUAUUAAAUAUAUAUUUUACUUUUUUUAAUAAUAUAGAUACCGUGUUACCCUUACCCUUAUUCAGUACAUAUCUUAUUGACCAUCCCUUUCAUAUAUUCCUCAGGUCCCUUUCUUGUGUGUUACAACUAAACAAUUAUAUUUGCUUAAGAAAAUGAUUUUAUAUAUAUAUAUAUAAUAUAUAUAUAUUAUGUUAUAUGUUAUCUUGAGUUGUAUUCUUCAACAUUCAGAAAGUAUUUUAAUAUUAUUAUUAUUAUUAAACAUUGAUUUGAAAAGUGGAUGUGUAUUGUUGAUUAUACAAAUACGGAUGCAUUAUGUUUAUCUCUUUAAAUAUGUUCUUAAUAUUAUAUUUUAUGUUUUGUUUUAAAUUAUUUAUAUUGAGAAAAGUAAUAGGUGCUGUGCUUGUAUAAAAUUAAAUUCAUUGAGAAAAGUAAUAGGUGCGUGCUGUGCUUGUAUAAAAUGAUGGAGCGAGUACUUUUAGAAAUGUUUGAUAAAUGCACACAACAUAUAAUAAUGAUAGUACUAACGCGUCUUUGACUUCUUGGUUCCAUUUUUCACUUAGCAUUGAUAUGUGAUGACAAACACAAAGAAAAAGAAAAAAAAUAAGGAUAAUGUUAACUUGUGCCCCUAAGGCACAAGUUCAGAACCAAAUGAAGAAAUAUUAUCUUGGAAAUUGUGUAUUGACUUUAAUAAAAAUAUAAAAUUAAUUUUUUAAUUGUUUUUUCCAAUACAAAUUUUCUAUAAGUGCCUUUCUUAACUUGUGCCCCAACUUGUGCCCAUGGGGCACAAGUUAGAAUUACCAAAAAUGAAUGACUUUUUUAGUUUAGUUUCGGAAUGGGAGGGAAAAUCAUAUGAACAAGGAUGGCAUAAAAGUCUCAAUUCUCGCAUGUAGUGUUGUUUUCUUCAUCUGUUUCUUGGGAUUGUAUGCAAUGAAGAAUCUCCAAAAAUGGUUCCUCAUAGUUUUGUUCCUCACUGUUGCUACUACUCUAAACAAUGUAUUAGGUAACUUAAACUAUCUCUUUCAUUGUCAACAAUCUCAAUUGUUGAAUCACAUUCUUGAUAAUGUAUAAUGCAGGUGCAUUCGUCGGAGUAAACAUAGGCACCAAUGUUUCUGAUCUACCUUCGGCUUCAAACAUUGUUGCCAUUCUAAAAUCUCAUCAAAUCAAUCAUGUGCGUCUUUAUGAUGCCAAUCCUCACAUGCUACAAGCCCUAUCAAACACUGGCGUUGAAGCUAUUGUUAUUCAGGUUAUGGACCAUGUAUAUUUGCAGGAAGGUGAGAAUGUGAAUCACUUAUACAUCAAUUAUUAUGAAUUGGAGUUACAAGUAAAUUUUUAUAUUCUUAUAAAACUAACUUUGGGAUUGAAUAUUUUUAAAUCAGUUCUAAUGCAAGCAGUGGUGGUGAUGAGAGCUUUUCUUCUAUGGCAUUUGGACCUGUAGGUCCUGUUGAUGCAAGUUUGAAGCUGCAAGUGUGUAGCCUUCACUAUGUACUCUCUUCUACUAGUCUACUUUUGGCUUUGAUGUUGUUCUGACUAGAAAGUUGAUGCACUUUUAGCCAAGCAACUAGGGAACAAGCUAUGAUCCUUAGAGAACAAACGAGAUGCCUGUGCAGGAAAGGAAGGGCGGGGGGUUUUACUCGAGAACAACAAGACGACCUCAAUGAGAUUUUGGUACCGUUUGAUGAUGUUUCCAAGAGCCUAAAGGGUUGCCUCCUAAAAGGGAGAAGAACAUUCCAUCAUACUCGAUGCAGGGAAAUGAAUAAUGAAUGUUAGGCAGUAUUAAUAACCAGAUGAAUGAGAUAGAGCGGCAGGUUCAAGAAGAGGGAUGAUUCAUGGCAGAUGUGUGUGGACCACUCAGCACUCAAUAAGGUAAAUGUUCCAAAUAAGUUUCCCAUACCGAUUAUAGAUGAGUUAAAUGAUGAAUCAUGUGGAUUGUACUUCUUUUUCUAAAUUGGGUUUGAAAUAGUGAUAUCACCAAAUUUGAGUCAAUCCGGAGGAUGUGCGCAAAAUUGUGUUUAGGCCAGCCAACAUGACUUCCACAUGACUUCGCAGGGGGGACACUCUAUAAAUUCCACAUGACUUCGCAGGGGACACUCUAUAAAUUCCACAUGACUUCGCAGGGGGACACUCUGGUUUUUACCAGACAUAGAAGAGACUGACAACUGAUGUGUACUGGAAAGGGAAGGUUCGGGAGUGCAUAAUGCAAUGUCUGCCAACUCUAGAAAUACUUGGCUACAUCACAAGUAGGAUUGUUAUCGCCGAUGUGGUUGCCUGAUGUUAUAUGGGUGGAAAUGUCUAUGGACUUUAUAACUUAACUGCCAAAGUCUAAAAGAUUCAAAGUUAUGUUUGUGGCCAUUGAUACCACUUAAACAUCCAUACACCACACGAAGGGAGACAAAAAGUAAUGUUGAAGAAAAUGAUAUAAACAAUUACAAAUUGAAUAAAUUGAUGUCUCUAUCAUCAUAUCAUAGUCUCUAUGGAACUUAGACUAAUCUAGUCCUAGUUUCAAAUUUGAAUCUUUGUGUUUUUCUUGAAAAGAAAUUUGGCAGAAGUAUAUUUUGGUUACCAUAAUCAAAAUAAGUUCGAAAGAACAUAUACGAAUUAGAUUUCUAAGAAAAAUUGAUUAACCUAGUAUAUAUAUAAACAUACUUAAUAAAUGAAUAAGCAUGCAUAUAACUAAGAAAUAUUAUUUACCUUGGAGUUUAGGUUUUAAUGGAACACGAUUGGACAAUAGGCGGUCCAUCUUUGGUAAACCGUUUCCAGACCUGGGCCUGGAAAGUUAUAAUAGGGCUGUUGAAAGGAUCAACAUGUGUGGCAGCAUCUUUUUGCUUCAAAGGUAAUGUAAUAAGUAAUAAAAGAGUGUGAUAUCGGCAUGCUUUGACAAGGUUAUGAACUGGUAAUCUGAACCCUAAUAAACAACAGUAGAUUAACAAAUAAGUUAUAGAAUGAAUACACAUAUAUGCGUAUAGUUAGAUUGGUGGUUAAAUAGUUUUGAACCUGGUCAUUAUUGUACGUUUUCAA